rnacentral:rRNA from 1 species
GGCGGCGUGCUUAACACAUGCAAGUCGAACGAUGAACCACUUCGGUGGGGAUUAGUGGCGAACGGGUGAGUAACACGUGGGCAAUCUGCCCUGCACUCUGGGACAAGCCCUGGAAACGGGGUCUAAUACCGGAUACGAGAACCUCGGGCAUCCUUGGUUCUGUAAAGCUCCGGCGGUGCAGGAUGAGCCCGCGGCCUAUCAGCUUGUUGGUGAGGUAAUGGCUCACCAAGGCGACGACGGGUAGCCGGCCUGAGAGGGCGACCGGCCACACUGGGACUGAGACACGGCCCAGACUCCUACGGGAGGCAGCAGUGGGGAAUAUUGCACAAUGGGCGCAAGCCUGAUGCAGCGACGCCGCGUGAGGGAUGACGGCCUUCGGGUUGUAAACCUCUUUCAGCAGGGAAGAAGCGCAAGUGACGGUACCUGCAGAAGAAGCGCCGGCUAACUACGUGCCAGCAGCCGCGGUAAUACGUAGGGCGCGAGCGUUGUCCGGAAUUAUUGGGCGUAAAGAGCUCGUAGGCGGUCUGUCGCGUCGGAUGUGAAAGCCCGGGGCUUAACCCCGGGUCUGCAUUCGAUACGGGCAGACUAGAGUGUGGUAGGGGAGAUCGGAAUUCCUGGUGUAGCGGUGAAAUGCGCAGAUAUCAGGAGGAACACCGGUGGCGAAGGCGGAUCUCUGGGCCAUUACUGACGCUGAGGAGCGAAAGCGUGGGGAGCGAACAGGAUUAGAUACCCUGGUAGUCCACGCCGUAAACGGUGGGAACUAGGUGUUGGCGACAUUCCACGUCGUCGGUGCCGCAGCUAACGCAUUAAGUUCCCCGCCUGGGGAGUACGGCCGC